GUUAAAAUUUCUUUCGACCGGGGGACAUAAUGACCGGUACCCGGAGAAGAAGCCCCGGCUAACUUCGUGCCAGCAGCCGCGGUAAUACGAAGGGGGCUAGCGUUGCUCGGAAUUACUGGGCGUAAAGGGAGCGUAGGCGGACUGUUUAGUCAGAGGUGAAAGCCCAGGGCUCAACCUUGGAAUUGCCUUUGAUACUGGCAGUCUUGAGUACGGAAGAGGUAUGUGGAACUCCGAGUGUAGAGGUGAAAUUCGUAGAUAUUCGGAAGAACACCAGUGGCGAAGGCGACAUACUGGUCCGUUACUGACGCUGAGGCUCGAAAGCGUGGGGAGCAAACAGGAUUAGAUACCCUGGAAG
rnacentral:rRNA from 1 species